ensembl:lncRNA
CCCAAUUUUAAGCUCUAAUACAGGCUCUAGGAUUAAGGUGGAGUUGGAAAAUUUAAGGUGGGAUUUUAACUGCAAUUUGAAGGUUGCUUGGGAAGCCAAGAGGUGGAGAUGAAGGGGACAACCAGUGAAAGUGCCUGGAGUCUGAUCUCUGGGAUGCCAAAUUCUCUCUUGGGAUAGAGUUGUAUGGAAGGAAUGGUGAGGGAGAAAGAGAAGCGUAAAAAGAUUGGAGAGAUUUGGAAUAUCUAACAAAGAUUUUACAUCUGAUCCUAGAAGUCAUAGGGAGUCACUGGAGUGAGAGAGAAGAGUUGAGAAUGACUCAAGUGCAGAGUAUGGUGCCUUGGAAGAUGUCUGCUUCACUCACUCCACAGUUGGGCAACAAGGACUAGAGGAAGGAGGGAAGAUGUUCUCCUUGGCACCUGAGUAUCCCCUGUGGGUGCUUAAGUAGUAAUAGGCUGUAAUUGCUUUAGGGCAGAAAUUGAAUUUGGAGGAAGAAGAAAGAGUAAGGAAGUACGGGGAAUAAAGGUUGGUAAAUCUGUGCCGGAGACAAAUCCUGUGAUUAACCAUCAAGGAGGAGGGUAGGAUUAGACCCAUUUUUUCAUCUUCUGAUUGCCUGAUCUUUGAUCCCUUUAGGAUCAGGCCAUGGCUUUAACAUUAGAAACCUAGAAAAGUCUAGAGAUGGUCUAGAGAAGUCACAUUCAUUUAGUUCUUGGUUAUUGUUAUUUCUUACUCAUUUCAGUCCUGUCUGAAUCUCUGUGACACCAUUUGGAGUUUUCUUGGCAAAGAUAUUGGAGUGGUUUACCAUGUCCUUCUCCAACUCAUUUGACAGAUGAGGAAACUGAGGCAUAUUGGGUUAAGUGACUUGUCCAGAGUCACACAGUAAGUGUCUGGGUCCUUAUGUGAACUCAGAUCUUCCUAAUUCCACUGCACUCCCCAAAGUACUUUACAGUUUGAAAAACAGCUUCCUAACAAUAAAUCUGUGAGAUAUAUGCCCAUUUUAAAGGUAAAACAACAGGAACUAAAACCCAAGGUUUUUUAUUCCACAUCUUUCUACUAAAUCAACAGAAACAAUAUGAGAUCAUGGACCAAACAAGUUUCACAAGACUGCCAUUUUACCAGCGACAAGGUCUCCUUUAUCUAUCAUGUUUCAUCAGCUUCCAGUUUAGAAAGUAUUUUACCCUAAUGGAGUUUCUGUGGCUAUUCCUUCAAAUUAGAAUAAGGACAUCCAUAACUAUAGUCUAAAUGUUUUCUUGUUUUUUGUCGUUUUUAUUAUUUAUUGAUGUCUCAUGGUGUCAUUAGCUUCCAUUUAUUCAAUUCAAAUUUUUUAGAAAGUAUUUUUUUCAGUCAACAUUUAUAUCUAUUUUUUCACUUGGCCAAUUUUGCAUUUAAGGAACUCUUCUUUAGUGGAUUUUUGUGCCUCUUUUUCUAUUUAGUCAAUUCUGUUUUUUAACGUGUUAUUUUCUUGAGUAUUUUUGUGCUUCAUAAUUUUCUUGUAUUGCUCUCAUUUUCCUAAUUUUUCCAAACAAUCCUUUUUGGGCUCUUCAGGAAUCCUUUUUGGGCUUUUUCUUUGAGGCUUUGCAUAUAGUUGCUUUGAUUUCAUUGUUUUCUUCUGAGUUUGUAUCUUGAUCUUCCCUGUCUCCAUAAUACCUUUCUAUGAUCAGGUUCAUCUUGUUUGCUCAUUUUCCCAGGCUAUUUCUUGACUUUUGAC